UGAGACAUUUCCUGAGUCUGGGAAUGGGA
rnacentral:piRNA from 1 species